GAUGAACGCUGGCGCCGUGCCUAAUACAUGCAAGUCGAGCGAACGGACGAGAAGCUUGCUUCUCUGAUGUUAGCGGCGGACGGGUGAGUAACACGUGGAUAACCUACCUAUAAGACUGGGAUAACUUCGGGAAACCGGAGCUAAUACCGGAUGAUAUUUUGAACCGCAUGGUUCAAAAGUGAAAGACGGUCUUGCUGUCACUUAUAGAUGGAUCCGCGCUGCAUUAGCUAGUUGGUAAGGUAACGGCUUACCAAGGCAACGAUGCAUAGCCGACCUGAGAGGGUGAUCGGCCACACUGGAACUGAGACACGGUCCAGACUCCUACGGGAGGCAGCAGUAGGGAAUCUUCCGCAAUGGGCGAAAGCCUGACGGAGCAGCGCCGCGUGAGUGAUGAAGGUCUUCGGAUCGUAAAACUCUGUUAUUAGGGAAGAACAUAUGUGUAAGUAACUGUGCACAUCUUGACGGUACCUAAUCAGAAAGCCACGGCUAACUACGUG
rnacentral:rRNA from 1 species